GCAUUAUUGUAAAAACGUACAUAUAGAACCAUCAAACUGUCUCCUCCGUUCAUUCUUCUGCUCAUCCACCCACGCCAAAACCCUCAACCGUGAACUUCUCCCAUCUUUGCUGUCUAUUUGUAAGAAGCGCCGCCAUGCUUACGAGUCGGACAAUUCCAGAUUCUGUUCACACCGUUUCCAGGUAAACUCCCGCGUUUCGCAUUUUUCUGUAUUUUUCUGAAACCGUGCUCUCGGUUUGUUCCUCUUUGAAGAUGAUUCAUGAAUCGCACCAUGAUUUUUCCGAAUUGGGAUUUAAUCUGUAUGAUUCAUGAAUCGCACCAUGAUUUUUCCACUUCUCAAUUGAACAUUUCGGCUAAUUGUUAUUUUUUGGGCAGUAAUUAGUGUCCGUACUUCUGGGUAAAUGUUUUUUUAUCCCCAUUACGAGACCUCCCUGCAACUCCUUUCCAUGGUUGCCAUAGCUGCUCGAGAACCAAAGUCGUCAAUUUUCCACAUUUAAAUGACAAAUUACCCCAUUCAAACAAAACAACUCGUGAUAUUUCUAAGGGCAUUAUUGUAAAACUACCUAUGCCUCUGAAUAUUCUCGUUUUUCUACUCUUGUGCUUCUUCGUUUUCAUUUCGGGUAUUCACUUGGAAUGGAAUUUGAGAUUUCAGACAACUUUCUUUUUACUCAAACUAUUGUUUAUGUUGAUCAUUUUUAUUCAAAAUUUUUUAUUGGAUUAACAAAACAAGUGCGGCUAGGCCCAAAGUGCCCUCAUCAAACGAACCAAAUCAUGUUAUUUCAUAGUUCUGUUCCAGAUGCUCGGACAAUUCCAGAAUUGGGACUUUUUUCUGUGUUGUUUUGCUUUAGAAUUCGUCAUCUUCUUUGACAUCGACGUCUCAAUUGCAAUUUUGAUUUAUUUGUUCUUUUCCAGCAAUAUUUUACUGUCCACAGUUGGGUAAAAUGUUUUUAUCCCUAGGAUUUUGGUUGCCCAAUUCAGAACCCACCUCUCUACAACUCCACCUUUCAUUUUUAGAUUAUUCUUCUCUUUCCCCUUUCUGCUUCUCCAUUCUCUCUCUGCCUUCGAUUUCUAGUUUAUGCACCGGGAAACCAUCUUUUUCUGAAUUUGUAUAGCUCUUGUAUUAAUUUUUUUCGGUUGUCCUUGUGGGAAGAUGGACGAACAUUUGGACUUCAAAAUUAGGAUCUUUUCUCAAUUUGUUUUUGGUUUUGCUUCUUAAUUGCAAUAUUGAUUGAAGUCUUUAUUUUUGGGGAAUAAUAACUGUCCAUGCUUAUCGGUAAAUUCAUUUAAGGGAACUUUAAUGAAAAACUCGUGAUAUUGUUUAUUUUAAAGAAAAAUUACAUUUUUAUACUAAAAAGUCAAUUCUGGUAUUAGUAACUUUUGUUGGUAUUUAGACAAUCUUUCAUCAUUAAUAAAACUUGAAUAAAAUGAUAAAGAUUGAAAAUCAAAGAAACAGAGUGCAGAGAGCUUUGGAAACAGAAGGCUGAUGCUUUUUCUUAAAACAGAUAUUUGAUAUUUUCAUUCAGAUAUUUCUGAUAUAUAUGGCUCAAUACAUAAGCCGACUGAAGUAAUUGGGUCGACUGAUAAAGAGAAUGCGUCGACUGAUAAAGGCAACAGUCAGCCCUUUUACACAGAAUCAGUUUAAGUAAAGCAUUAACUUUUAACACUCCCUCUUAAUGCUUUGCUGCUUCACUCCCAAAAGUUCUCUUAGGUAGAUGAAUCUGUCCUUUGGUAAUGCCUUGGUGAAGAUAUCAGCAACUUGAUCUUCUGUCUUGCAUAGACCACAUCCACUUCCUUGUCUUCCACAGCACCUCUGAUGUAGUGAUGCUUCAGAGCAAUAUGCUUUGAUUUACCAUGACAGACAGGAUUCUUGCUCAUGGCAAUAGCUGACUUAUUAUCACAAAGGAUAUGAGUUGCUGAUUCUUGUUUCUCACCAAAAUCUUGCAGAAUUCUUCUCAGCCACACUGCUUGAGAAGUUGCAAUUGAAGCCGACACAUACUCAGCCUUUGCCGUUGAUAGUGCAAUUGAUUUCUGUUUCUUAGAUGCCCAAGAGAAUACACUAGUCCCUAAUGUAAAAGUAUAGCCAGAUGUGCUCUUCAAGUCAUCCACACUACCUCCCCAGUCACUAUCACAGAACCCAUACAAUUUUGGCUCAACAUUCCUUUCAUACAUAAUACCAAAGUUAAGUGUACCUUGUAUGUAUCUUACGAUCCUCUUUGCAGCUCCAUAGUGAAUGCAAGUAGGCUUGUGCAUAAAUCUGGACAACAAGCUUGCAGCAUACAUAAUAUCGGGUCUAGUCGCUGUCAAAUACAACAAACUCCCAACCAGGCUUCUAUACACAGAUUCAUCAGCAUCACCACUGCCAUCUUCUCUUUGAAACUUUUCAUUCACAACUAGAGGUGUUGCAACAGGCUUGCAACCAACCAUUUUGAACUUUUCUAGAAGUGUUUUUUGCAUAUUUCUUUUGAGUAAUAAAGAUACCAUCAUUUGAUUGAAUGAUACUAAUUCCCAAAAAAUAAUGCAACAUGCCUAGAUCACUCAUCUCAUAUUUCCUCAUCAUGUCAUUCUUGAAAUUCAAGAUCAUAUUAUGACUACUUCCAGUAUAAACCAAAUCAUCAACAUAUAAGGAAAUAAUAAGGAUAUCUGAAAUACCUUCUGUUUUGACAUAGAGGGCAGGUUCAUUCUCACUUCUUUGAAAACCUCUUUCAUUGAAAUAUGAGUCGAUCGGCCAAACCAUGCUCUCGGAGCUUGUUUCAGGCCAUAAAGUGCCUUCUUAAGCUUAUACACCUUGUGCUCUUGUCCUUUAAGAACAAAUCCUUGAGGUUGAUCAACGAACACCUCUUCUUUUAGGACUCCAUUUAGGAAAGCCGACUUGACAUCAAGUUGGUGCAGAAACCACCCAUUCUGAGCAGCUACGGAAAUAAGGCCUCUGAUUGUUUCAUGCCUAGCUACCGGUGCAAAUGUUUCGUGGAAAUCAAUCCCGGGUUUCUGAGAAUAACCCUUUGCUACCAAUCUAGCUUUGUUCCUUUGAACGGAACCAUCUUGAUUGAGCUUAGUCUUAUAAAUCCACUUCACUCCAAUGACGGAGUUGUCACAAGGUCUGUCCACUAGUUCCCAUGUCUUGUUUUUCACAAUGACAUUGAUCUCCUCUUGCAUUGCAGCCUUCCAUGUCUCUUCUUUCACUGCAUCAUCAAAGUUUUCUGGUUCUUCAACACAGAAAUUGCAGCUUUCAUAGACUUCAUUUAAGCUCCUUAACCAACCGGUGUCUUAUUUUCAACUGCCACUGUUGGAUGCCUAUUCAUCAAGUAGACCGCUGUAUUAACUGCCUCGCCCCACAAAUAUUGAGGUAUUCCCUUGUCAUGUAACAUUGCCUUAGCCAUUUUGACUAUGGUUCUGUUUUUUCUCUCAGCUACUCCAUUUUGUUGUGGAGUGUAGCUGACAGUAAAUUGUCUUUCCAAGCCAAUAUCUUGACAAAACUUAUCAAAUUCUGUGGAUGUAUACUCUCCUCCUCUGUCACUUCUAAGAACUUUUAUUAGAUAACCAGAUUGUCGCUCAACCAUAGCUUGAAACUUCUUGAAGAUUGAGAACACUUCUGAUUUCUGUCUUAGAAAGUAUACCCAAAUCAUUCUAGAAUAAUCAUCCACGAAGAUUAGGAAAUACUUGUUUCCCACUUGAGUAGAGGUUUUCAUGGGUCCGCAAACAUCUAUAUGAAUCAAUUCCAAUGGAACUUUUGCUCUCCAAGCUUUACCAUGUGGAAAUGAAUCUCUAUGAUGCUUCCUAAGUGCACACCCUUCACAGAUUUCUUCAUUUUCUUGGAUACUCGGCAACCCAUGCACCAUUUCUUUUUUCUUGUAGCUUCUUGGGACUUUGAAAAUUCAAGUGGCCAAGCCUUUUAUGCCAUAGCUUCGAAUCUUCUUUUGCCUUACAAUUUGUGCUCUUCUUUUUAAAUCCACUUCUCAAUUGAACAUUUCGGCUAAUUGUUAUUUUUUGGGCAGUAAUUAGUGUCCAUGCUUCUGGGUAGAUGUUUUUUUAUCCCCAUUACGAGACCUCCCUGCAACUCCUUUCCAUGGUUGCCAUAGCUGCUCGAGAACCAAAGUUGGUCAUCUUUCUUUUUACUCAAACUACUUUUUAUGUUGAUCAUUUUUAUUCGCAAUUUCUGAUUGGAUUGAACAAAAUUAGUGUGGCCAGGCCAAAAGUGCCCUCAUCAAACGAACCAAAUCAUGUUAUUUCAUAGGUCUGUUCCAGAUGCUCGGACAAUUCCAGAAUUGGGAUUUUUUCUGUGUUGUUUUGCUUUAGAAUUCGUCAUCUUCUUUGACAUCCACAUCUCAAUUGCAAUUUUGAUUUAUUUGUUCUUUUCCUGCAAUAUUUAAUCUGUAUGUUCUUUUACCUUAGAAUUCGUG
rnacentral:lncRNA from 1 species